rnacentral:rRNA from 1 species
CUGUAAACGAUGUCGACUUGGAGGUUGUGCCCCUUGAGGCGUGGCUUCCGGAGCUAACGCGUUAAGUCGACCGCCUGGGGAGUACGGCCGCAAGGUUAAAACUCAAAUGAAUUGACGGGGGCCCCGCACAAGCGGUGGAGCAUGUGGUUUAAUUCGAUGCAACGCGAAGAACCUUACCUACUCUUGACAUCCAGAGAAUUCGCUAGAGAUAGCUUAGUGCCUUCGGGAACUCUGAGACAGGUGCUGCAUGGCUGUCGUCAGCUCGUGUUGUGAAAUGUUGGGUUAAGUCCCGCAACGAGCGCAACCCUUAUCCUUUGUUGCCAGCACGUAAUGGUGGGAACUCAAAGGAGACUGCCGGUGAUAAACCGGAGGAAGGUGGGGAUGACGUCAAGUCAUCAUGGCCCUUACGAGUAGGGCUACACACGUGCUACAAUGGCGUAUACAAAGAGAAGCGAACUCGCGAGAGCAAGCGGACCUCAUAAAGUACGUCGUAGUCCGGAUCGGAGUCUGCAACUCGACUCCGUGAAGUCGGAAUCGCUAGUAAUCGUAGAUCAGAAUGCUACGGUGAAUACGUUCCCGGGCCUUGUACACACCGCCCGUCACACCAUGGGAGUGGGUUGCAAAAGAAGUAGGUAUGCUUAA